rnacentral:rRNA from 1 species
GCGGAGGGAUCAUUACUGAGUUACCGCUCUAUAACCCUUUGUGAACAUACCUAACUGUUGCUUCGGCGGACGGCUCCCGGGCCCCCGGCCCCGCUCUGCGGGGUGUCCGCCGGAGGAUAACCAAACUCUGAUUUAACGACGUUUCUUCUGAGUGGCACAAGCAAAUAAUCAAAACUUUUAACAACGGAUCUCUUGGUUCUGGCAUCGAUGAAGAACGCAGCGAAAUGCGAUAAGUAAUGUGAAUUGCAGAAUUCAGUGAAUCAUCGAAUCUUUGAACGCACAUUGCGCCCGCCAGCAUUCUGGCGGGCAUGCCUGUUCGAGCGUCAUUUCAACCCUCAAGCACUGCUUGGCGUUGGGGCUCUACGGUUGACGUAGGCCCUCAAAGGUAGUGGCGGACCCUCUCGGAGCCUCCUUUGCGUAGUAACUUUUGUCUCGCACUGGGAUUCGGAGGGACUCUAGCCGUUAAACCCCCAAUUUUCCAAAGGUUGACCUCGGAUCAGGUAGGAAUACCCGCUGAACUUAAGCAU